rfam:Prevotella sp. CAG:604 genomic scaffold, scf156
GGUCUCGUAGCUUAGUUGAAUAGAGCGUUUGAUUCCGGUUCAAAAGGUCGUGGGUUUGAGUCCCACCGAGAUCA